CACACCUGUAAUCCCAGCUACUCGGGAAGCUGAGGCAGGAGAAUCGCUUGAACCUGGGAGGCAGAGGUUGCAGUGAGCCAGGAUCAUGCCACUGCACUCCAGCCUGGGUGGCAAGAGCAAAACUCUGUCUCCAAAUAAUAAUAAUAAUAAGAGACCCGUGUACAGUAUCAUCUCAGUUGGAGUUAGAAGAAGCCUUUAGACUUUAUGAGCUAAACAAGGAUUCUGAACUCUUGAUUCAUGUGUUCCCUUGUGUACCAGAACGUCCUGGGAUGCCUUGUCCAGGAGAAGAUAAAUCCAUCUACCGUAGAGGUGCACGCCGCUGGAGAAAGCUUUAUUGUGCCAAUGGCCACACUUUCCAAGCCAAGCGUUUCAACAGGCGUGCUCACUGUGCCAUCUGCACAGACCGAAUAUGGGGACUUGGACGCCAAGGAUAUAAGUGCAUCAACUGCAAACUCUUGGUUCAUAAGAAGUGCCAUAAACUCGUCACAAUUGAAUGUGGGCGGCAUUCUUUGC
rnacentral:lncRNA from 1 species